UGGGGGAUAUUGCACAAUGGGCGAAAGCCUGAUGCAGCGACGCCGCGUGGGGGAUGAAGGCUUUCGGGUUGUAAACCUCUUUCGCUAUCGAACAAGGCCCGCUUAGGGUGGGUUGAGGGUAGGUGGAGAAGAAGCGCCGGCUAACUACGUGCCAGCAGCCGCGGUAAUACGUAGGGCGCGAGCGUUGUCCGGAAUUAUUGGGCGUAAAGGGCUUGUAGGCGGCUUGUUGCGCCUGCUGUGAAAACGCGGGGCUUAACUUCGCGCGUGCAGUGGGUACGGGCAGGCUUGAGUGUGGUAGGGGUGACUGGAAUUCCAGGUGGAGCGGUGGAAUGCGCAGAUAUCUGGAGGAACACCGAUGGCGAAGGCAGGUCACUGGGCCAUUACUGACGCUGAGGAGCGAAAGCAUGGGUAGCGAACAGG
rnacentral:rRNA from 2 species